UGGAUGCGUACGUGCACGUAUUACUGACAUCUCUCUUAUUAGACGUUUUGGCGUGUAAUAUCGGCAAAUAUUUUUACAAGUUAUGCUUUUCUUUGAGGAGCCCUUAAGGUGGAAAAGUAGAAGUCAAUAGAGAAUCGGAUUGAGACAGGUCCUAUGGAAGCCGUAAUGGUGCAAAAUUCAACCGAUCAAAAUGCUGCCAACAUCAACAUUUAUUAUUAAGGUCAACGAUAAAAUUUGUCCAACUUCAACCGCUAAUAUCAAUAUCAACACUCCAAACACAUUAAAUCCAACAACCAAAGUAACUCAACAUCAACACAAAUUCUUCUAGUCUGCAGCCCCUGCGAAUCACAUUAAAACCAACACGGUAUAAAAGCUUCAAGUUCAACAACUAAACACAUUCAACAAUUUGGGUACGAGCGACUGGAAAUGGCCGAGGGAUCUUGGGACUUAUAUUUUUAUCCCGCUCUCACAGCAGUCGCCAUAUUUAGCGAAGAUAUCACUCUCGAGCAGAGGGGCAUUUCGUCUGCGUAUGCAUUUAUUUACUGACGAUCCAGAUGUGCACAUGAGACAACAAACCUUGAAGUCAUAUAGAACACAAAGCUUUAAAAAAACGUUCCAACUUCAGGGCUGAGUCGCUCUUACUACGACCUUUGGCGAUUUCGUUUUUGGGAGGUUGAGAUGGAUUUUCCAAGUCAUGGCCCACAACUGUCUUUAGCCUUUUUGCUCUCCAAGUCUGUUGUACAUGAUAUGUAGGCAUGUGUCUUAACAACGGUUAUAGUCUUGCCUCAAUAAUCUUCGGUUUUAACUUAUUUUGUUGCUGUGUUUUGGUGAGAAUUUUCCUAAUUGCCUUUUUGAGCUUGAAGUGCUGACUAAAGGAUAAACUUCGGAAGAACUUAUUUAUCACAUGGGCCCCAAAUCCCUCACCACUGUCAGUUCGUUGUCAAAAAGCAAAAGAUUGUAAAAGCGAGUAUUUUCUUGCGACAACUACAUGUUUCGAAUAUUUUAUGUGUACGGAGAUUUUAUUUAUUUAUAGUUAAAUUUAAUUUACUCUAAAGUUGUGC